AUGGUUAGAUUUAUUCAAUUCAUUUGCAACUGCAUAUCAGAGUAUUAAAAUGGAUAGUGCCCAAGUCAGUUUCCUCUCCAUACAAUGGAGAUAAUGAAGAACUUCACAGAACUGCCCUGAAGAGUAAAAAAUAUAAUGUUGAUGAAGUAAUUAUCUACAUUACUAGUUUUGGGGACAUAGUGACCCUAAGUAAAUAGGACUUCACAAAGUUAAGCUUUAUACACUACACUUAAACAUUUUAUAGAUCUUUAAAAACAAUUUUUUCUCAUUUAUUAGGGCAAUAGAAGUGGGUUUGAUGGUCAGCCAGAAGUCUCUACCUGGUCACCUGGGAAGGACAGGGAGAGCAGAUAAGGGAGCUAUCGUGAACAUGUUGGAUUCGAGGAAUCCAUGGAACACCCAGGCAGAAAUGGCCAAUAAGACAUUGGAUGUGCAAGGCUCGGGCUGGACCAAGAGAGCAGAUGAAACCAAGGGUGUGGCUGUUGUAGAGGGUGUUCUAGGAAGGUCAGUUCUUACUAGGUACAGAAUGGUCCAGAAAGCUAGAAAAGGGUAUCAGGUGAGAAGUAGAUAUACUUGUCUAGGUGUAAAUUGAGAGGAGCCUGACCAGAGAGGUAGAAAUAAGAAUGGAAAGAAAGGAGAAGUACGAGAUUCUGCAAAUAAACAUUGAGAGUGAUAGUGAAGUGUUGGCUGGAUAAAGUGAGAUAAGGCCAAGUGUUUUGUGCCUAGGAGCUUUGGAGGAAGGAGGCCCAAUAAUAGAAAUAGGUAGGGUCCUGGUCCUGGGGCAGGAGUUGGGAGAUGACAUUACAUGGGAUAUUGUCAUUUGGAUUUUGGCAAUAUAAGAGGACAUUCAGGUGGAAAUGCCCAGCAGGGAGUUUGAGACAGGGAGCUGCACACAGGGUAAACCGAGGCUGGUAACACAAGCCAUCUUUUAACGGUAAGAGUGAAAGCUCUGAGAUGGAAGAUGUUUCCUAGGGGGAGUGAAGACCCUUUAUUAUAAGUUCAAUUGCAAACUGUGAAUGAGUGAAGUAUGGCCAAUUCGCAUCAUUCAUGGUAGUUAUGACCUAUGAAUUUGCUCUGAAUUCGCCAGUACAGAGCAUUGUUCCUAUGGGAACUUACAGGAUUAUGUUCCUGAGAGCCUCUGAUCACAACAUUCUCCUCUACUGAUUAAUACAUAGGCUGCUAUAAAUUACAUGUUAUGGUGAUUUGCUCAACAUACAUUGAACUGGGAACUCAUGGCCAACAACAGUACUAUAAUUCAUGCCUGAACGUACUUUCCCUUAAAUGUAUUUUCUCCGUGAAGGACAGAAACCACAGCCUUCUUGUGCUGAGGAAUGCCAGGCGGGACUUUAGCCCUAUUCUUGGGACCAUUUUAAAUA
rnacentral:lncRNA from 1 species